UCGUACGUGGAAGGAUUCUUGCUGCGCACGUCCCUCCAAAACAAAGUGUUCAUGUUGAGACCACCUUUCAGGGCCGAAAGGGCUUCCCUGUCAGUGACCUGUUCGCAGUAAGUAAUCUCGUCUGUAAACCUGGCGAGAUAGCUUUUCAGCGUCUCUCCAGGGGCCUGCCUCAUGUCUUGCAGGCGUUGGAUCGGCGCCUCUCCUUCCCUGCGUGAGAGGUACUGGUUCAAAAAUGCUUUCUUCAAAUCCGGCCAACUUCUGAUGC
rnacentral:lncRNA from 1 species